rnacentral:snoRNA from 1 species
GCGCUAUGAGGAAGAACAACACAUACACACACUCCGACUACCCAUGAGGAGAUAAUUAAGAACGGAUAUCUGAGCGC